AGAGCAUACUUAAUAAACACAUACAGAGCCCAGCAAGCUCUGGUUUCACUGAUGUCUUUCUGAGGGAAAACGAUUUGAAGACAGUUGGUGAAACAGCAUCCUUUCUGUGGGUAAAGGUUUCGGGGUCAGGUUUGGUUUUUGCUAUAAGAGCAAAUCAUCUUUUUUUUGCCUUCUUACUAUUGAUAGAUUUACUGUCUGUUUUAAACAAACUGUACUGUAAGUGUUUUGUUUUAGAUAGAUUUGACGUUUGCAUCCUGAAAUUUUAUGCUCUUACAUCAUGACAAUGGACCCAGACACCCGAUACACACAAUAGCCAAAUCAACAAAUGAAUUUAUGUGUGGACACAUGUAUGCCUUCUGUAUCUGAGCCACGGUCUGUUCAAACAUGUUUUCUUUUGUGUCCUCAUUUAUGACCAGGAUUGAGUCAGCUUUACAUCGACCACAUGUUUGCCGAGACUUGAAACACAAACCAGACAUAAUUUCCUCAACCUGACCUUUUGGCUGCAGUGGACAUGUAUCCCGGUGGAGCUGCCACGAAGAAGGAUCCUGAUAUUGCAUAUCAGCUAAAUGACCAAGUUAUGGUCUAAGCUCAGGUCACUGGGAUACAGCCGGGGUUGCGAUGGACCAAACCUGCACCACUGAUUACACCCUUUAACUGGACAACCACACGGAUGAUCUGACUACUGCCUUGGCGUUCAUGCUAACAGAGCAAGGGGCAAAGAAGCAGCUGUGAAGAGCCUGGACCCCCUUCCCCCUCCCCCUCCACCGCCCCACUUCGUCUCUCACCUGUGUCACCUCUGCCCGCCAGGGCCAUCAAUGGUGCGUCAGCCGUCUUGUUUGGCACCUUCUCACCUGUGGCGCUGCUUUGCUCCUCGCUGGCUAACGUGCCUCCGCCAUCACCAACCUCUCCCACCUCUUGGUCCUGAAGGCAUCUGUCACUCACCUGUCACUUUUUUCAUCAGCUCCGAGUUUCCUCCCACUUUUCCACAAUGGCCUCGGUGAAGGUGGAAAUGAAAGCAUCGGAGCAAAAAUGGUGGCUGUUAUGUCCUAAUUUCAGGUUUGGCUGGAGUGACGAGAAUGACUCGUUGCAGAAGAGGUGACUGACAGCCAUGUUCCCCUUUUGAUGCAUGCGAAAAUUUUCAAGUUAAAUAUCUGACACAUUUAGAGAAAAUAUUUAGUUUUCACCUGUAACAGAAGUGUUUUGAGGCCUAUAUCUUGGAUGAAAAUGUGACAAAAAAAGUGUAUUAUGGUAACACAGUUGUCAUUUGUCUUUAAAGUGAAAUUUGUUUUUAGACUGAUGCAUCUUUAAUCACGUUUCAAAGACAAAACAUUUUCACAAUUAAAAAAACAAAACAAAACUAA